UGAUCGGUUCAUGCCGGCAUAUGAUAUGUUCCGCCUAAAAUUAAAUAAAAGCUCGGACGAGAUGAGCAGCGUCAUCGUGCCUAUGCGUGUGUGUGUGACCAACAAAUAUGUAUACCAGUAUGUCGUGUCUUCGUCGCUGUGUUUUCUCUCUCGAGAAAAAGUUGGUGUUGCUUGUUGUUCAGCUAUCCGGAAUAUCCUCCGUGAAUAAACACCUGUAGUGAUUGUGCGUGGCUGCCAAUAAUGUGAGUUCUCUUGUCCACGCAGUUACAUGUUUCCCGUUGUAUUUAUAUACUCUCCGAUAUGAUAUUUGUUGACGUGUUAAGCAGUAUCUUACUAGAUGCUUAGCUUAUUUUAUUUUGCCAGAAAAACUUUCAAUCUAUUCAUCAAACGUCACGGUAGUUCUAGCUUAGUUAUCACAUACUCACACGAACUGAUGGGCAGCUAUUUGAAAUUUACCUUACUAGUGUUUGGCACAUACAAUAACUAUCCUAUGCACUCCUUUUCCAUCUUACUACGGGCAUGCCACACCUUUCAUCCUGACAAAUAUUUUCGGAUGUUUCUAGACGGGAUAAGAAAUGUGUCUGCAAUCACACGUCUGACAAUUUUGUGUGCCUGUAUAAGAAGUAUGAUACAAACCAAACUUGUUGUUCAAAGAAGUUCUUGUAACGUAAUCUCAAAACAUCUAUGUUUGCUCGGUUCAACUUGAAUGCAAAUGGUAAAAGUUUCCAUAUUUGAUCUCAGUUUUUUCCUAAAGCAUAAUCAUGCUUCGAGGAACGGUUGUUCAGCAUAAGAUAGUUUUGAAAAAUGACAACAGAAUUCAUAAAAGCGGCCUCAUGGGAAUGUUAUAUUGUUGUACAAUGAGAUCAUGCAAUUAAGAAUUCUUCGUAACCUAUGAUAAUAUAUGUCGUGCAAAAGUCUUAUCCCAGGAGGAUUGCAACGAUGCCUUCAAUGGCACCAGUGUCAACUCUUGCCAUUACGCUUCCUUGCAAAGGAAGCGAUCGGCCAGGAUGUUUGAGUCAACUUUAUUAUUUUUCUUGUUUUGUUUCUUUACGCAUUUAUAGGCACUAGCUAGAGUACAUAAUAACCACUUGCAUUUCCAAAUGAUGAUGACGAUGAUGAUGAUGAUGAUGACGAUGAUGAUGAUGAUGAUGAUGAUGAUGAUGAUGAUGAUGAUAAUAAUAAUAAUAAUAAUAAUAAUAAUAAUAAUAAUAAUAAUAAUAAUAAUAAUAAUAAUAAUAAUUUCUGAGCCCAGGCUCAUCUGCACUCGGUCAAGAAACAAUUCACAAAAUAUAUAAAAAUUAAAAAAAAUCAUUUUUUUGCAUGGUAAAUAAUUUGGUGCAGGAGGUGCGCUUCAAAUUUCAGUUCAUUUCGACAUAUGUGUAGCUCUGAGAAAAAGAGACAAAUUGGGUCACAACAAUACAUGAACAAUAAACUUUUUUUAUAGACCCCAAAUUUGUCUUUUUCCCCGAGAGCUACACAGAUGUUCAAAUGAUCUGAAAUUUGGAGCGCACCUCACGCACGAAAUUAUCUACCAUGCAAAAAAAAAUAUUUUUUGAAUUUUUGUAGUAUUUGUUUUGAAUUUUUCUUCUUCUUUAUCUUAGGUGCAUAUGAGCCCGGGCACCGAAUUGCUGCUCUCAAUAAUAAUAAUAAUAAUAAUAAUAAUAAUAAUAAUAAUAAAGGAAAUAAUAAUAAUAAUAAUAAUAAUAAUAAUAAUAAUAAUAAUAAUAAUAAUAAGCACUUGCCUAUCCUUACUAGCUAGUAACAUCGCUUCUAAUCUUUCACAAGAGAUAAUUAAAAUACAAUGAAGAGAUUAGUAAAUAUCACUUGUGUUCUUCCUGCAAAUGAAAUAACGGUGUUCACAAUUAUGCGGGUGUAAUUACAUUUCUUCGCAAUACCUAGUUUGAAUAACAAUUCCAACAGAAAAUGGGAUUAGUUAGUUUUUAUGUAUACACUAAAAAGACGUGCACAAUUGUAUUUCAAAAAAUAAGCAACAAAAAAAAAA
rnacentral:lncRNA from 1 species